UUCCGGUUGAUCCUGCCGGACCUGACUGCUAUCGGAUUGAUACUAGGCCAUGCGAGUCAUUGUAGCAAUACAAGGCAUACGGCUCAGUAACGCGUAGUCAACCUACCCUAUGGACGGAAAUAACCUCGGGAAACUGAGAAUAAUAUCCGAUAGAACAUUAUGCCUGGAAUGGUUUAUGUUCCAAAUGAUUUAUCGCCGUAGGAUGGGACUGCGGCCUAUCAGUUUGUUGGUGAGGUAAUGGCCCACCAAGACUAUUACAGGUACGGGCUCUGAGAGGAGUAGCCCGGAGAUGUGUACUGAGACACGGACCCAGGCCCUAUGGGGCGCAGCAGGCGAGAAAACUUUGCAAUGUGCGAAAGCACGACAAGGUUAAUCCGAGUGAUUUCUGCUAAAGAAAUCUUUUGUUAGUCCUAGAAACACUAACGAAUAAGGGGUGGGCAAGUUCUGGUGUCAGCCGCCGCGGUAAAACCAGCACCUCAAGUGGUCAGGAUGAUUAUUGGGCCUAAAGCAUCCGUAGCCGGCUCUGUAAGUCCUCGGUUAAAUCUGUACGCUUAACGUACAGGCUGCCGGGAAUACUGCAUAGCUAGGGAGUGGGAGAGGUAGACGGUACUCGGUAGGAAGGGGUAAAAUCCUUUGAUCUAUUGAUGACCACCUGUGGCGAAGGCGGUCUACCAGAACACGUCCGACGGUGAGGGAUGAAAGCUGGGGGAGCAAACCGGAUUAGAUACCCGGGUAGUCCCAGCUGUAAACUAUGCAAACUCAGUGAUGCAUUGGCUUGUGGCCAAUGCAGUGCUGCAGGGAAGCCGUUAAGUUUGCCGCCUGGGAAGUACGUACGCAAGUAUGAAACUUAAAGGAAUUGGCGGGGGAGCACCACAAGGGGUGAAGCCUGCGGKUCAAUUGGAGUCAACGCCGG
rnacentral:rRNA from 2 species